GACGAACGCUGGCGGCGUGCUUAACACAUGCAAGUCGAACGGAAAGGCCCUGCUUUUGUGGGGUGCUCGAGUGGCGAACGGGUGAGUGACACGUGAGUAACCUGCCCUUGACUUUGGGAUAACUUCAGGAAACUGGGGCUAAUACCGGAUAGGAGCUCCUGCUGCAUGGUGGGGGUUGGAAAGUUUCGGCGGUUGGGGAUGGACUCGCGGCUUAUCAGCUUGUUGGUGGGGUAGUGGCUUACCAAGGCUUUGACGGGUAGCCGGCCUGAGAGGGUGACCGGCCACAUUGGGACUGAGAUACGGCCCAGACUCCUACGGGAGGCAGCAGUGGGGAAUAUUGCACAAUGGGCGGAGGCCUGAUGCAGCAACGCCGCGUGCGGGAUGACGGCCUUCGGGUUGUAAACCGCUUUCGCCUGUGACGAAGCGUGAGUGACGGUAAUGGGUAGAGAAGCACCGGCUAACUACGUG
rnacentral:rRNA from 1 species